UACAGAGGGUGCAAGCGUUGUUCGGAAUUAUUGGGCGUAAAGCGCGUGUAGGCGGCUUGCCAAGUCAGAUGUGAAAGCCCACGGCUUAACCGUGGAAGUGCACCUGAUACUGGUAGGCUUGAGUACUAGAGAGGAUAAUGGAAUUCCCCGUGUAGAGGUGAAAUUCGUAGAUAUGGGGAGGAACACCAGUGGCGAAGGCGAUUAUCUGGAUAGUAACUGACGCUGAGACGCGAAAGCGUGGGUAGCAAACAGG
rnacentral:rRNA from 1 species